rnacentral:rRNA from 1 species
GACGAACGCUGGCGGCGUGCUUAACACAUGCGAGUCGAACGGAAAGGCCUGCUUUCCCUUGUGGAUUGCGGGUACUCGAGUGGCGAACGGGUGAGUAACACGUGAGUGAUCUGCCCCCAACUUGGGUAUAAGCCUGGGAAACUGGGUCUAAUUCCCGAUAGUACUGCAGGGUGGUGCCUGUGGUGGAAAACGAUUUUCUAGUGGUUGGGGAUGAGCUCGCGGCCUAUCAGCUUGGUGGUGGGGUAAUGGCCUACCAAGGCGGCGACGGGUAGCCGGCCUGAGAGGGUGGACGGCCACAUUGGGACUGAGAUACGGCCCAGACUCCUACGGGAGGCAGCAGUGGGGAAUAUUGCACAAUGGGCGGAAGCCUGAUGCAGCGACGCCGCGUGGGGGAUGACGGCCUUCGGGUUGUAAACUCCUUUCGACCGCGAGGAAGCCACCUGGUUGGAAGGGUGGUGACGGUAGUGGUAGAAGAAGCACCGGCUAACUACGUG